rfam:Salmo salar isolate Sally breed double haploid chromosome ssa11, whole genome shotgun sequence.
UGGCUCAGUUGGUAGAGCAUGGUGUUUGCAACGCCAGCAUGGUGUUUGCAAUGCCAGGGUUGUGGGUUCGAUUCCCAC